rnacentral:misc_RNA from 1 species
CUACCCUCAGGCUCUGCCUGGUGUUGGGGACCUGCGCCUUGCAGCCCCCCAAAGACAGCGGCGGUCCCGUCCCGGUCCCGAGCGUAGUAACUACUGUCGCUCCGGGCGCCGGGCCGGUGGCCUGCCGUAAAACCCCUCUUCUCUUGA